GAUAAACGCUGGCGGCGCACAUAAGACAUGCAAGUCGAACGGACUUAAUCGAUUCUUUUAGAUUCGAAGCGGUUAGUGGCGGACUGGUGAGUAACACGUAAGCAACCUGCCUAUUAGAGGGGAAUAACAGUGAGAAAUCACUGCUAAUACCGCAUAAGCUGAUAGUAUCGCAUGAUACAGUCAGAAAAGGAGUAAUCCGCUAAUAGAUGGGCUUGCGUCUGAUUAGCUAGUUGGUAAGGUAACGGCUUACCAAGGCGACGAUCAGUAGCCGAGCUGAGAGGCUCUACGGCCACAUUGGGACUGAGAUACGGCCCAGACUCCUACGGGAGGCAGCAGUCGGGAAUAUUGCGCAAUGGAGGAAACUCUGACGCAGUGACGCCGCGUAUAGGAAGAAGGUUUUCGGAUUGUAAACUAUUGUCGUGAGGGAAGAAAUUUGACAGUACCUCAGGAGGAAGCUCCGGCUAACUAUGUGCCAGCA
rnacentral:rRNA from 1 species